rnacentral:rRNA from 1 species
AUGGGGUUUGUUAAACUAAAUGUGGAUGCAUCUUUUGGUCAUCAUCUACUGAGGGGCACCGCUGGCGCAGUACUCAGAGAUGACAAAGGAAAAUUUAUUGUUGGCAGAAGCUGGAAGAUUGAAUGGUGUGCUGAUGCUCUAACAGCAGAAGCUCUAGCUUUGAGAUCCAGAUUAUCUCUUGCACAAAAGGCGGGAUGCAAUCGUCUUGUUAUUAACUCUGAUAAUAUGGAAGUGAUCGAGACAAUGAAGAAUGGAGGACGGUCGGCGGGAGCAACGACGUCAGCGUUUGAUGAUUGCUACUUUUUGGCUUGUAACUUUCCUCUCACUAAGUUCGAACAUUGUAAUAGGGAAGCGAACAUGGUUGCUCAUGCAAUUGCUAGGCUAGGAAAAUUUUCUGCACCAAAUUCUUGGUUUGAGGAGCCAGUCGACGAUAUUGUAGCACUUUUAAUAGACGAUGUAACCGUUAUUUCCAAUUAA